UUAUAUGAGAGUUUGAUCCUGGCUCAGGACGAACGCUGGCGGCAUGCCUAAUACAUGCAAGUCGAACGCACGAAGUUGAAAAGCUUGCUUUUCGACCAAGU
rnacentral:rRNA from 1 species